rnacentral:tRNA from 1 species
GGGGAUGUAGCUUAGUGAUAGAGCAUUUUCCUGGGGUAUGUGAAGCCCUGAGUUCAAUCCCCAGCAUCACUU